rnacentral:rRNA from 1 species
GACGAACGCUGGCGGCGUGGAUUAGGCAUGCAAGUCGGACGAGAAAAUUACCUUCGGGUGAUGAGUACAGUGGCGGACGGGUGAGUAACGCGUAGAUUAUCUACCUUUAAGUUGGGGACAACUCAGGGAAACCGUGAGCUAAUACCGAAUGUGGCUGCAAAGCUAAAGGGGGCGUUCGGCUCCCGCUUAGAGAUGAGUCUGCGUCCAAUUAGCUAGAUGGUGGGGUAACGGCUCACCAUGGCGAUGAUUGGUAGGCGGCUUUAACGAGUGGUCGCCCACACUGGGAUUGAGAUACGGCCCAGACUUCCUACGGGAGGCAGCAGUCGAGAAUAGUCUACAAUGGGGGGAAACCCUGAUAGUGCGACGCCGCGUUGAACGAUGAAGCUUUUCGGAGUGUAAAGUUCUUUUCUGUAUGAGCAAUGCUUUAUUGUUUAAGAGAUAAUAGAGAGAGAUAUUAGUACAGGAAUAAGCACGGCUAACUCCGUGCAGCAG